rnacentral:rRNA from 1 species
GAUGAACGCUGGCGGCGUGCUUAACACAUGCAAGUCGAACGAUGAAGCCCAGCUUGCUGGGUGGAUUAGUGGCGAACGGGUGAGUAACACGUGAGUAACCUGCCCUUGACUCCGGGAUAAGCCUGGGAAACUGGGUCUAAUACUGGAUAUGACUUCUCAUCGCAUGGUGGGGGGUGGAAAGAUUUAUUGGUCUUGGAUGGACUCGCGGCCUAUCAGCUUGUUGGUGAGGUAAUGGCUCACCAAGGCGACGACGGGUAGCCGGCCUGAGAGGGUGACCGGCCACACUGGGACUGAGACACGGCCCAGACUCCUACGGGAGGCAGCAGUGGGGAAUAUUGCACAAUGGGCGCAAGCCUGAUGCAGCGACGCCGCGUGAGGGAUGACGGCCUUCGGGUUGUAAACCUCUUUCAGUAGGGAAGAAGCGAGAGUGACGGUACCUGCAGAAGAAGCGCCGGCUAACUACGU